rnacentral:lncRNA from 1 species
CAAUAAAAAAGGUCUUAGCCCAGAUUUGUGUCUUUACACUGGCUGUGGCUGGACUUUCUUUCUGGAAAGCAGAGCUAAGCCAUUUUCUCAAGGGAAAUGAAGGAAGCAGAGACAAGUCAAUGUCGCUGACCCUGGUGUCUUCUUUCUCUGGAAUAAAUGUCAUAACAAGAUCUCUUAGUCUGAACAGCUCUUCAAUUGGAGUACUUCAAAGGGCUGAUUUUCCUCUGCAUCUCAGUAAAAACUAAGCACUUUCCAGGUUCUUUGCAAACUGUGUUCUGUACUAGUGCCAUUUGAAGCAUGCUUUUUAGCAAUUUGAUGGCAGGAAUUAGAAAACUUGUCAGGUGGCCUUUCUUGUGAUGGAGGAGAUCAGCGGUGGGCAACUCUAACACCAAGAUACAAGAUGACUCUCAGAAGCCAAAUCUGUAAACCUGAUUUUAGUGCCGAGCAUCAUCAGAGGACUCAUUUACUCUGGGAUUUGAGCCACUUGGGUGGAGCUGUCUUGAAGAGACUGAAAAAAUUGCAGUGUUUGUCUGGAGAGAAACCCUUUCCUCUUGCUGCUUGAUAGGCUCAUGAACCUAUAGAUUCACAGCAGAUCCUGUUUUUGAGUGAACACCUCAUUUCAGUGCUGAUGUGGCACAGCUUCAGCUCUGGUCCCAGCUGGAAGCUCAGCUGCAGUGAGAUAAAGGGCCACUUGUUUAAAGGCAGAGCCUCCUGUGGGUGUCAGCAGGGCUAUGGCAGCAGGCAACUGCUAGGGCACCAGGAUUUCCUUGUUUCCCUUGUCCUAAGGCUUUCCAGUUUCACUUCUCAGCACCUUCAUUUCCUCAUACAUGAGCCACAUUUAGCAAGAAGACAUUAUCUCCCUUCUCAGUGUGAUGUGAAGCUGUUUUGGGGAUGUUUAUACAGCUCUUCGCAAAACUCUAAGGAAGGAUGUUCUUGAGUGAGAAGGGAAUCAACACGUACUUCCACAGCUAGGGAGCUGUACUUCACUCUUCUGCCUUUCAGCGGGGAUAAUGGAGAAAGGAGCAGUGCUCAAACACUGCAGUCAGGCAAGUGCCCUGCUCUCAGAGGUCUACCAAGGAUGCAGGUCACAGAGUAAUCUUCCAUCAUUUCAGUCUUCAUCCUGGUGCCUUACAAACAGAGGUUUACUUGAAGCCCACAGCAGAGAUUAUAAUAUACUCUGAAAUUAGUUCAGUGUACUUUUUUGUUUGUUUGUUUGCUUGUUUGUUUUAAUCACCUUGGAUGCUCUUAUUAAAUAAAGAAUGACUGUGACUUUUCUCCCA